rnacentral:lncRNA from 10 species
CUGUCUUGGUGAUAAAGAUAAAACUAAAGGACAAUCAAAUCUCAUCAAACUUCUCUCUGAGGAGCUGAUGACGUUUCAGAAACAGUGACAAAGUUCAGAAUCCCAUUCUUCCAUCCUAGAUGGGAAACAUCAACUUUCCUGAUGGUGAGUUUGUCAGAGUCCAUUCCCAAGAGUGGGGGUGGGGAGGUGGGGGUGGAGGCUGUUGACAGGCAAUGAUUU